rnacentral:rRNA from 1 species
UACAGAGGUCCCAAGCGUUGUUCGGAUUCACUGGGCGUAAAGGGUGCGUAGGUGGUGAGGUAAGUCGGAUGUGAAAUCUCGGAGCUUAACUCCGAAAUGGCAUUGGAAACUGCCUUGCUAGAGGUUCGGAGGGGGGACUGGAAUACUUGGUGUAGCAGUGAAAUGCGUAGAUAUCAAGUGGAACACCAGUGGCGAAGGCGAGUCCCUGGACGAAACCUGACACUGAGGCACGAAAGCUAGGGGAGCAAACAGG